rnacentral:rRNA from 1 species
CGAGUGGCGAACGGGUGAGUAACACGUGGGUGAUCUGCCUUGCACUUCGGGAUAAGCUUGGGAAACUGGGUCUAAUACCGGAUAGGACAGCUGUUUAGUGUCAGUUGUGGAAAGUUUUUUCGGUGCAAGAUGAGCUCGCGGCCUAUCAGCUUGUUGGUGGGGUAAUGGCCUACCAAGGCGUCGACGGGUAGCCGGCCUGAGAGGGUGGACGGCCACAUUGGGACUGAGAUACGGCCCAG